UCCGGGCGGGAGUCUCCGGGUGCCGCCGAGCACGCAUCGGCGGAGAAUCGGGAAGGCGGUGCGAAUCCGCCACGUGCCCAGCGCUGUGAGGAGGACGGGCGAUGCAUAGGCCACUGACGCGAGUCGGGAAGGCGCAUCGCACGGGUGAAUCCAAGUCAGAAGACCGGCCAGGAGACUAACGGACGC
rnacentral:ncRNA from 2 species